rnacentral:rRNA from 1 species
CAGUCGCCGCGGUAAAACGGAGGGUGCAAGCGUUAAUCGGAAUUACUGGGCGUAAAGCGUGCGUAGGCGGUUCGUUAAGUCUGUUGUGAAAGCCCCGGGCUCAACCUGGGAAUGGCAAUGGAUACUGGCGAGCUAGAGUGUGUCAGAGGAUGGUGGAAUUCCCGGUGUAGCGGUGAAAUGCGUAGAGAUCGGGAGGAACAUCAGUGGCGAAGGCGGCCAUCUGGGACAACACUGACGCUGAGGCACGAAAGCGUGGGGAGCAAACAGGAUUAGAUACCCCUGUAGUCCCUGUCUCUUAUAC